rnacentral:lncRNA from 1 species
UUCGGUUCUCGUUCCCAACUCAUUGCUUAGAGCAUUUAGAUUUUGCUGGAAAUAAUUAUGUUGAUUUGUAUGUUAAAGAUAGCUGUGGUGAGCUUCGAGUUAUUCGUUGCCUGAAGAGAAAUGGAGUUUAUGACAAGCCAGUGCUUUCUAUGGGCUGGCUUAAAUUUGUUGCUGAUUAUGGACUGAGAGUUGGUGACAAGGUUGUUCUUCAUCGUGAGGAUGACCAUAACCUGGGGUCACAGUUCAUGAUUGAAGCUAAGAGGAGAAUCAUGCUGCUUGGUGAGGAGGCUUGGGGUGAUGUGACAAGAGCUAACUAGCUAUUAUUUGGAUGUUCGGCCAUAUCCAGAUAUAUAUAGAAGAAUGAAUUUAUGUAUGUGUUUAUGUUUGAGUGUUCGUAGUGAUCAUAAUCAAUGUCAUCUGCGUCAGUCUAAUUAAAUAAAUAUGUUGCUGUUCUUGGUUUCUUGAAAAUGUAUUACGUGCAUGUAAUUCUCAGCAAUAAUGGAUUUAAUUAAUUAUAUAUGAUCAGAUUCUGUCUCUAAUAGUAUGAGUUAUAUAGUAUAUAUGUACUGAUCUCAAAUUCCGUUUCCAGGAGUUUUUUUUUUUUUUUUCCUUCAAGUUUUUACAUUUCCAGGUUUUUCAAUUUUGUUGGUUUAAAUCAUGGGAAAUUCAUUGGUGAUGCUAAGAAACAAAGAUCGUUGUUUCAAAUCCUAUGUUGUCAACUCUUUCUAUUUUAUUUGGAAUGAGUUAUAUAUUUCAUUUCAGUUUAAAAAAUAAAAAAAACUAAGAACGGAUUUUAUCUUGCUUAAAAAAAUAUUAUCUAGUUUUACCAUAUCAAUUAUAUUUCUCGAUCCAACUAUUGAAUCAGGCUGAAAUUAUAUGAGUCUCCAGAUAUAUUGUGAUAUUUCAAGUUAAAAGUUUAGAAAUGCCUUGCAACAUUUUCUGAAUUUUGUUUCUAAAAGUUAUUUUUUUAUGUUUUUUUCAAUUUUAUCAUUUAACAAUAGGUUUAUUAAAACUUAAACUGCAUAAUUUGUUUUGAUUUAUUUUAUUUAUCAUGCAUUUGAAAAGUUAAUUUUUAUUUUUAUUUUUUGCUAUUUUGUGCGCUUUUCAAGUGUCUGAAAAUGAAGAUUUCCAUUGAUUUAAAACCAUAGAGACUCCAUAUAUAUAGUUUUUGAAAUCAUGGGAACUAACUCAUUGGUGAUGCUAAGAAACAAAGAUCGAUGGAUUCAAAUACUAUGGUGUCAAUAUUGAGAUAUAAUCCUAUCGUAACAACAUAUCAUUUAUAAAAUUAUAUUUUCCAAUCUAAUUAUUAGAUUAUGCUAAAAUUUUAUAACAAAUCUCCUAACAUAUUAUGAUACCUCAUGUUAAAAGUUUAGAAAGGCUUGCAAAACUGUCAAUUGCAUUUAUAAUUUUGUUUUGAAAGUUUAUCCUUUUAUCUUUCUUUUUUUUUAGAUUUGAUUAUUUUUCAAUUUUUUAUUUAACAAUAAGUUUAUUAAAAAUUGAGCUAUAUAAUAUUUUUAAUCAAAUUAUAUUUUUAUUAGUUGUAUAAAUUAUGUGCUUUAAAUUAAUAUUUUAAAUUAUAAACAGUUUGGAACGAUAUGUGAAAACGCUAUGAAACUAAAACAUGAAAAAACAGAACACUAACUGGAACGGAUUUGUUUAAACAGAGCAAUUGUAACAUGGACUCCACCAUUAGCCUGUGAACUCAAGAUUCCAACUUCCCCUUUCCUUCCUAGUUUAUGUGAAGUUUGCUUACUCAUUCACAUCAGAGGACAGUUUUCUUUUCUUUAUUUUUCUUUUGUAAAGAAGUUUGAAGCAUCAGGAAACUAGCUCAGUAUUGAAUUGAAACAUGUCUAGUCCUUUAAAAUUCACAGAACGUAACAGGGAUAGUGAGAGUAAUUCAAUAAAGAAGCACUCAAACCAUAUCAUACAUAACUGAGAAGAGAAACUUACUUCGUUCCUCCUCCUCUUUUGAUAAGCCCAGAUGGAGGGAUUCACAGAAGGCAUCAAAAUUGCCCCAAACCUGUAGCAAAACGCAAAGUUGGUUGGCAUACAAUACUCCUGCUAAGGAACUUGAAGAAAGAAAGCGAUUUGGCAUCGCUGCAGCAGCUAGAGAGAUCUUGAAAGAGAUGCUUAGCCUACCUCUUUACAUGUAUCAAAAACAAGAACACCCAAUAUUCCAAUUCUGGUUCACAUCCAAGAUAUUGAAGAGGUCAAUGCUGCGGUCAAUGCAGACGAGAGUGUUGAGGUCAACAGCCAAGUCUCCAUGAUUUGCUUCCUAAUUGGAUCCUCAAAAACAAAGAGCAAAUACCAUGAGAAUAUUCGAAAGCAAUAAUUGAAGGGGCUUAAGCAAAGAUGCCGUUCAUAUAUAUUAAGAGAUUAGGUAAAAAGAAUGGGGAACUACCUGGAACGUAGGACGAGAUUGCGUUUGAAGGAAAAGAAGCGGUAUUAUUUUGACUCACAAUCUUGGAACAAGUACAAAUAAGUCCUUCUCCUUUAUAGUCUGGCUAAUCUACCCCCAAGCUUUGUCUUGCCUUGGCCUUUUGCCCUCUCUCACACUGCAGCUAUAAAUCAUGCUCGUCUUCUGUUUUCGCAGAUACAAAACCCCAGUACUUAUAUUUGGAAUACCAUGAUUAGAGGCUACUCUGAAGCCAAAAUGGGCCAUAGUGGCUUCUUGUUUUUCUGCCAAAUGCUUCAGAAUGGCGCUGAAAUGGACUGUAGGAGCUUUGUUCUUGCGCUCAAAGCGUGCGAGCAGUUUUUGAGAGUUUUAGGAGGGAAAUCAGUUCAUUGUGGUAUUCGAAAGAUGGGUUUUGUUUAUGCUAUGUUGUUUCAAGAUGGGUUGGCUCGUUUUUAUGAUCUGCUGCGUGGUUGUUUGGGUUUUGCUUGACACUUGUUUGAUGGAAUUCCUGCUAGAGAUGGACUUUCUGUCUAUGACUGAUGGAUAUUCUAAGCGUAACUGUUGGGAUGAGACUUCGAAGCUUUUUGACUCGAUGUCAGUGGAGGGCAAUGUAGAGCCCGAAGAGGUCACUAUGAUAGCCGCUCGUUCAGCUUGCUCGCAGAAGGGGGGUUUGAGAUCAGGGAAGAGUUUUCACGAAUAUGUAAGACUAGAAAUGGAAAUCACCAUGAAUGUGAAACGUGGCUGCUUGGAUUCUGCAAGAGGGAUCUUAGAUACCAUUGACCGUUUAUUGUUUUUUUUCACUUAUUAAGACUUACAGUUCUUUUCUAUUAUAUGUAUGUAUAUUUUUAUUUUUUUUCACUUGAAAUUUUUUUAAAUACAAAAAAAUAUUGAAAAAGUCUAUAUAUAAUUUUUUUUGUUAUAUCCAGUAUAAACUAAAAGAGGUGGUGCUUUUAUUGUGCACUACCUUGUAAAAUACUAUUCAUUUCAAUAGUAUUUUUUUGUCUUUUGUUUUCUAAAUAUAUAUUUUUUUUUAAUUUUAUAUUUUAAUAUUUUGUUUAUUGAAAAUUAGGUUUUAUAAUUUAUUGUGGUUUGCUUUAUACGUGGUUAGCUCGAUCUUGUAACCCGUGUCACAGGUUUGGCGGGUUGACUCUAGUUUUAUUUUUCUUUUUUAAUUGAUAAUUUUUUUUCAAUUUCAUCAUUCAACAUUAGGUUGAUUGGAAAUUAGGUUUCAUGAUUUAUUUUGGUUUGCUUGAUAUAAGAUUAUCUCGGUCUCAUUACUUGAGUCGCGGGUUUGGCGGGUUAACCUAGUUAAUUCGAGUUUUUAUUAACUUUUUAUAUUGGAAUUUUUUAUAUUUCAUCCUUCAACAUUUAGUUGAUUAUGAAUUAGGCCUCAUGAAUUAUUUUGGUUUGCUUUCUAUGGGGUUAUCUUGGUCUUAUACUCGGGUCACGUGUUUCGUGGGUUAACCCGGAUAAACUCUUCUUGUUUUGUUGUAUCCUAUUUUUAAAUUUAAUUUUCUUUAUUUUCAACCUUUAACAAUGACAUUAUUGAAAAUUAGGCUUCAUAAUUUUUUUAUUUGCUUUUAACAGAGUUAUCACAGUCUCAUGACCUUGGUCGCGAGUUUGACAGAUUAAUUCAGGUUGACUCAGGUCUUUUUUUUAUUUACUUUCUAUGAGAUUAUCCUGAAUUUUUUUUUUCUAAUUUCAUACUUCAAUACUUAGUUUAUUGGAGAUUAGGAUUCAUAAUUUAUUGUGAUUUGCUUUAUACGUGGUUAGCUCGGACUUAUAACCCGUGUUGCAGGUUUGGCGGGUUACCUCGAGUUUGUUUUCUCUCUUUUUAAUUGACCCCUUUUUUUUCAAUUUAAUCAUUCAACAUCAAGUUGACUGGGAAUUAGACUUCAUGAUUUAUUUUGGUUUGUUUUUUAUGAGGUUCUCUUGGCCUCAUGACUCGAGUCGCGGGUUUGGCGAGUUAACCCUGCUGACUUGAGUUUUUUUUUUUUAACUUUUUGAUUGGCAUUUUUUAUAUUUCAUGAUUCGGCAUUGGUUUGAUUGUGAAUUAGGCUUCAUGAUUUAUUUUGUUUUGCUUUCUAUGAGGUUAUCCAGUCUUAUGCUCGAGUCACGUGUUUUGCGGGUUAACCCAGGUAGACUCAAGUUGUUUCACCGUGUUCUAUUUUUAAAUUGAUUUUUUUUUCAUUUUCAACCUUUAAUAAUGAGUUUAUUAAAAAUUAAGCAUCAUAAUUUAUUUUGAUUUUCUUUUAAUAGGGUUAUCACAAUAUCAUGACCUUCGUCGCAGGUUCGACAUAUUAAUCCGGGUUAAAUCAAGUAAUUUUUUUGUCUACUUUUCAUGAGGUUAUCUUGAUAUGAUGACCCGAAUCACAGGUUUGGCAGGUUAACCUAGAUAAUUUUUUAUUGUUUUUUAAUUAAUUGUUUUCAUUUACAUUCUUCAACAAUGAGUUGAUUGGGAAUUGAGCUUUGUAAUUUGUUUUGAUUUAAUUUUUAUAGAGUUAUCAUGGUCUUAUAAUCUAGGUCGUCGAUUUGACAGAUUAACAUGUGUUAGCCCGAAUCGAUUCAAUAUGUUUUCAUUCUAAUAUUAUUUUAAAAAAAAAAGAUGUUGCCUUGAAUUUUUGUUAAUCAAACAAUGUUUUUACAAGUUGUCUUGGGUUACUUAUAUCCGUCAGGUCGAUCAGGUCACAUCGGCUCAACCUCCACGCGGUUUUAAAAAAUAUUUACUUGAAAAAUAUUAGCAAUGUCUGGAUGUUUCUUUUGUUUGCUAAAAAAAUUGAUCUGACUUGAGGCGUAAAGCAGGUCAACGAUCUAGUCUAUCAACAAAAACUAAUGGAGGGAAAUCAUUGUUCCUCUCCUUGAACGCUACUAUUUAAGUGUUGUUCAUUGGAAAGAAUGUAACCCGUGCCACACCGAGGGUCGGACCAAACUGUUACAAACACUAAAAAAGAAUAUUCAAGCGAUGAUAAUCUGAGACAACCAGGUUAAAUUAACUAAAACACAGCCUGAGAUAUGAGACUGAAAGAAUCAGUAAAAAAAAAAAAAUAGAAAGUUCAAGGCCUAAUAACCUAAUGUCAAAGAUAAAAACAAAAAAAAAGCUUCAAAAAAUACAAUGCCGAAAAAGAAAACCAGAGUCAGCUCGGGUAACUUGACAAACCAACAACCCAUGAUAUGACUUUGGGAUGAAAAAAAGAAUUUCAAAAGGAUGACCUAUGUCGCACCGGACAUCGCAGCAGCCUUAAAAUUUUAUAUUUCAUGGAAAGAAUGGAUUUCUGGCAUCCUAUUCUUUAUUGGGGAACGAUAUUGUUUAAGGAGUCACCACCUAGUAUUAUGGUUACUAGGAACCCUAACUGGUCAACAGAGAUUCUAUGGUUCGGGACUAGUUACGUAAAAGGAAAGAUAUUAUCACCCCUUAAACGUCCUGCCUGUGGCAGACCUCAUUGCUGGUUUUGCCUUAAAUUGCUAAAUAUUUAUUAGAUUAUACUAUUAUAAUUUGCUUAUAAUAUUCCUGACUCUAGCAUCAGUGAAUGUUCAACUACGGAUACUUCUAACUCUGGCGUUAGUAAAUAUUACGUAGCUAUAAAAUAAAUUUAUAUCAAUAUUUUUAUUCCUGACUCUAGCGUCAGUGAAUAAAUAAAAAAAAUAAAUUUAUGUUAUUUUUAUUCAUGCAUACACAUAUUUUUUAUUAUUUUUUAUUUUUUAUUUUUUUUAUUUGAGGCUGGGCCCAGCUCAGCCCAUAUGGGCUGGGCUAGACCCAGCCAGCCCGGCUGGGCAAAGCAACACGCGUGAGCUAAUUCACGCGUGUUGCUCACUGUUCAAGUGAAUUAAAAUUCACUUGAACAGUGCAAUGUGCUAAUUAUUUGGAGAAUGUAGCAAAGCGGGAGGAGAAAGAUUGCUUACCUGAUCUGCUGGAGGCGAUGAAGACGACGGUGAAGUUGAUGUUAGUCUAUGUGUUUUCUGCUUGCGUUUUUCCUUUUGCUUUCCUUGUGAUUCUGUCUGAAUUUAUUCCUCUGUUUCCUUCCCCCCCGAAUUCUCUCCGUUUUUGGUCUCUCUCUCGCUGUAAGCCCCCCCCUGCUCGUCGUCUCCUCUCUUUAUGCUCACGGCUUUCUGUGAAUUUGUUUUGACUGAUCCCUUUCUACUCUGUUUCGUUCUUCGUUUGCCCAAGUUCGUCCUCCCAGUUUUCUUCCUCCGUUCUCUCCUGCCCCUUUUCUUCCCCCCCCCCCCCCCCCCUCCCUUGCUGAGGCCUUUCUCUGGCUUUUAUAAAGCCAGAGAAGGUCUUGUGUCCCGGCCUCCAGAAAUGGCGGGCAUCGUGGAGGCGAGAGAUCGUGGCUUCAGGAAUGGCAUCGUGGGCAUAGUGGCUGUGAUCUGCUGAAUCUUCCCCUGGCCAUGAUCUGCUGAAUUUCACUGUUAAACCGGCUUCCUACGCGCGAAACGAAGGAGACAAUGAACAAUGCUUCCAAAACGGCGUCGUUGUGUCCUUGGGCAUCUGUUUUUCACUUUGGUCCCUAAACAGUUUAAACUUAACAAUUGGGAUCCUAAUCAGUAAUAAUUGAUUUCUUGUGCCCUUGGGUUAAUUUCAAUUAAAUCCCUGAAUUUAUUUAAUUAAUUAAAUCAAAGUUUAAUUAAGUCCACAAACUUAUUAAUUCUUCUGAUUUCAUUUAAUUAAACUAAUCCAAAUUUUAAUUAAAUUUCCAAACUUAUUAAUUCUUUAAUUUCUGACCAAUUUACUCUCAAAUCUGAUAAUUUCAUCCCUGAACUUCGAAUUUGUGUUGUUUUAACCCCAUUCUCAAAUAUAUUUUUAUCCAUUUAUUUUUUUUAUUCAAAAAUUGGGUUAUGACAACCUAGUAAAAAAAAACCAAAGUUUGAUGAUAAAAUGUCAAAAAAAACUUGAGUCAAUCAUAGUUAACUUACCAACCUGCUAUCGGAAUAACCAAACACUAAGAAAAGUGAAAAAAUAAAAAAGCUCAAGGGCAAAUAAUUUAAUGUAAAAUGAUAAAAUUAAAAAAAAAAGCAUAAAAAAAUUCAAGGGAAAAAAUCCUAGUCAAUCUAGGUUAACUUGACUAACCCAUCACACACGACAUGAGAUAUUGAUGGAAAAAAAAAUCAGACUUCCUAAAAAGGACCAGGCAAAAAAGGUCUAAGUUAAAUAAAAAAACAUUGUGAACAAAAAUGCAAGAUGACCCUAGUUAACUUGAUCAACCCACUCUUGAAAUAACGAAAUAGAAAGAGAAGAAAAAAAAAUAACAAAGCUCAGUGCAAAUAAUUUAAUGCAAAAUGAUAAAAAUAAAAAAUAAAAACAAAGUCAUAAAAAAAUUGGGGAACACCGAGUCAACUCGGGUUACCUCGACUGACCCGCCACUCGCGGCAUGAGAUUAGGAUGAAAAAAAUUAGACUUCCAAAAAAAGAACCUAGCGAAAAAGACUGUAGUUAAAUAAAAAGACAUCGUGUAAGAAAAUGCAAGCUAACCGGGGUUAACUUGAUUAACCUGUACUCGGGAUAACCCAAAAUAAUAAUAAAAAAAGUGAAAAAAUCACUUAGCUCAAUGACCAAUAAUUUAACAACAAUGUAUGAAAUUGUUAAAAAAAUCAAUUUCAUAAAAAAAAUAAAGGGGAAAAAACAUGAGGCAAUCAUGGUUAACUUGACUAAUCUAUUACCUGAAAUAUGAGAUCGAGAUAACUCAAUAAAAAAAAGAAAAAUAAUGAGUUAAGGGCUUAAUAACUAAAUGUCAAAGGAUAAAUUAAAAAAAAAUAUCAUUAAAUACCUGUUGUAACAGUGUCAAAUGUGCAUGGGAUGCACACUUCGGCAGGCUGUCCAAAACAGGGCCUGAGGGUGCUGGCAGCCAUGCCAACAGGGGCAGAAAUUGGCAGCGCAGAUUUGUGCAGCUGUAGGUUCGUCAAAGAAAAAUCGGCAGCGCAGAUUGUUGACGAACAUGGGCUGGACGAUGGACUGUCCAGGCCACGCAGGAAAACUCGUCAGGGGGAUAGGCUGACGAGAACUGGGGCUGUCGAGGAAUUCGGCAGCGAAGACAUUGGCAGCCUGCACGCAGAUGCGAAUUCGGCAGCGCGCAGCAGCUUGUGCAAGUCGUUGGCUCGACUUGGCACGAUCUGAAACUUGGACGAAGGACUGUCCAAGGCAUGUGAGUGACUCAACGGAUGACGCAGCAAGAGCUGGCAGCAGGGGCUGCCAGGUGGGCAUGCAGAACGUGGGUAGUGGCAGUUAUGGAUAUCCAAGAUCAUGUGGGUAGUGGCAGUUAUGGAUAUCCAAGAUCAUGGGAUCAUGGGGGCUGACCAGGGGUUGCUCUCAACCCACUAAAGAUCAUGGGGGGAAAACUUCUCACUACUUGGUAGAUAAUGGGGCCACUAUGUUCAUGGGUGAACAUGGGUGAGAUAGUGUCCCACUACUUCCUUAAAAGUAGGAAUGGGGGGUGUGCCUUGUAAAUGCUUGUCUAUAAAUACUUGUGGUAGCUUUUGGUUGAGGGGGGCGGCAUGUAUGGGCAUGCAGCAGCAUGCGUUGGGAAUGUUCAGCAUGUAGGGGCAUGCAAGAACAUGUAGAGCACUAGUUAGAGGUAGCUUGGUGUAGCAUGCAAUCUUUGUGCAUAGCACACAUACGGAAUUGUGUAUAGUUUCCUUUGUUAACGAGAUCAAUAAAGGUGGGGACAGAGUUCCUAUAAAGCUUGUUGUGCACUUUGAUUCUUAUUCUUACUUGUGUAUUCCGCUUGCUUAGUUACUAGGCAAACACGAGUGGGAUUGGCGAGGGAAGGCUGAGUCUAGCGAGGGACUAGGCUGCCGCACGGGUUUCUUCGCGGAGCGAAAAAUUACCCCGUGACACCUGCCAUGUUGGGAGAUAACUAUAAAAAAAAUAACAAAAUAAAAUAUUUAAAAGGAUGAUCGUAGCAUUAACGGUGAAGCACUUCCAGAUGGAAGUCAAGAGUGAGUUAGAAGGUUUCAGCAGUUGCGUUUGAAGCUUAAGACGGCCAAUAACUGAGCUGGUGUUUCAAGAUUCAGCCGUGUAAAUUGUAAAACUAAUUGUGAUUGGAUAGUAAUUGUCCGUCUAAUUAGUGCACUGAUUAUUGUUUGUAAAAUAGAAAGUUGAAAUAUAAAUAUAAAACGAACAAACAUAUUUCGGAUUACAAGAUAAGUAUGUUUUUUUUUUUUUGGUGUCUAAACCAUCUAUCCUCGGAGUAAAACGUCAUUGCACGCCCAUAGUGCUGACGGUCUCGGUCGAUGGCACAGACACCAUUUAUUCUUUGGGCUUCCGAGCAUUUCAAAUCGAUGCAUGCUGCAGAGAUCGAGCGUAAUUCUAGCAUUAUUAUAUUAUAAAAAAUAUAUUGUGGACCCAGAAUUGGAAAUGACUUCAAAUUAUGCACAGGCAUGGAAGGACUUGCCCUUCAACAAUAUCGUGCACCUUGUUGCUUAUUCGAACAAAAACCUCGCAGAAAUCUCAAGAAAAAAUUUACAAAACCAAAUUCUCAAUCAGCUCAAUAUUAAAAAAAAUUGACAAAUAUAAUUUUGAAAAAUAAAGAAAUAAAAAAACAACAUUUUCUAAAAUCACAAGUGCCAAAAAUAAUGGGAAGGAUGGGCUAGGUAAAAUACAAUUAACUGAUAACAAACCUUAUUUAUUCUUGUAGUUUUUUUAUUAAAUGGGGUCCUUGGCCAUUGCCCAUGUUGCCCAAAAUGCUCUAGCUCACUAAACACUUAGACAAGCAUGCAAGAUCUUCAGCAAGUGUUUGGUUUUCGCAAGUUAGAACGAACGAGGUGCACGAGAGGCAAUACGAGCGUACCUCCCGACUCAUUUAGUCUUUGAAAAAGCGUAGUCAUAAGCCUGCGCUUCUCUUGUUCUAUCUACAAAUAAUCCAUCAAGAUUUAACUAACGCCAUGCGAAAUCGAUCAAAUGAACAAGAUUUCCGAAAUCUCUCGCUCGAUGUCUUUCUACCGUGAAUACAGUAGCUAGCUAGUAUAAAUUAACAAGGUCCUUGCAAGAAACCAUAUCAAUCCAGCAGAUAGCUUAAACAUAACCAUUUCUCUCUUUUUUCACGACCCUUGAGAAAAAAAAUGCAGAUCUUCAGCAAAGUGUUGAGAGAUACUGAUGUCCAUGUUCGGUUCUCGUUCCCAACUCAUUGCUUAGAGCAUUUAGAUUUUGCUGGAAAUAAUUCUGUUGAUUUGUAUGUUAAAGAUAGCUGCGGUGAGCUUCGAGUUAUUCGUUGCCUGAAGAGAAAUGGAGUUUAUGACAAGCCAGUGCUUUCUAUGGGCUGGCUUAAAUUUGUUGAUGAUUAUGGACUGAGAGUUGGUGACAUGGUUGUUCUUCAUCGUGAGGAUGACCAUAACCUGGGGUCACAGUUCAUGAUUGAAGCUAAGAGGAGAAUGAAGCUGUUUGGUGAGGAGGAUUGGGGUGAAGUGACAAGAGAUAACUAGCUAUUAUUUGCAUGGAGCGUGGAUGUUCGGCCAGAUCCAGAUAUAUAUAGAAGAAUCAAUUUCCUAAGUUUGGUGUUUUUGUGUGUGUAAAUUAAACAAAUAUGUUGCUGUUCUUAGUUUCUUGAAUAUGUAUUACGUGCAUGUAAUUCUCAGCAAUAAUGGAUUUAAUUAAUUAUAUGUGAUCAGAUUCUGUCUCUAAUAGUAUGAGUUAUACAGUAUAUAUGUACUGAUCUCAAAUUCCGUUUCCAAGAGUUUUUUUUUUUUUUUUUCCUUCAAGUUUUACAUUUCCAGGUUUUUCAAUUUUGUUGGUUUAAAUCAUUGGUGAUGCUAAGAAACAAACAUCAUUGUUUCCAAUCUUACGGUGUCAAUCAUGGUUGUUAAAAUCAUGUUUUGACUCGUAAAAUUGUAUGAUUUUACAAGUCAAAAUAUACUUUACAUGCUGAAUCGUUUGAAAAAAUAAAAAUAGAUGAAAUCAAAUUGAAAUUGAAUGAAAUCGUUGAAAAUCACGAGUUCAUGACCGAUUAAACGACUUCACCAAAACACAUAAACUGAAGUAAAUGUUUCCCUCCAUGCUCCAGCUGUCCGGCGUCUAUUGGCUGGGUAAAUGCACAGUCACUAAUAAAAACAAAGUCUCCAGUCAUCAGUGCGUCGCCUUUCUUCCUUUUCAAUGAGAACAAAUCCCUAAUCUCCUUCUCUAUUAACCAACCAGCAACCACAAAAGCGGCGACGAUCAGUCCAGUCUUCACUACAGUAGCUAGCUAGUUAUAAAUUAACAAGCUCCUUGCAAGAAACUAUAUCAAUCUAGCUGCAGAUAGCUUAAAGGCAACCAUUUCUCUCUUUUUUCACGACCCUUGAGAAAAAAAUGCAGAUCUUCAGCGAAGUGUUGGGAGAUACUGAUGUUCGUUUUCGGUUCUCGCUCCCAGCUCAUUGCUUACAGCAUUUAGAUUUUGCUGGAAAUAAUUAUGUUGAUUUGCAUGUUAAAGAUAGCUCUGGUGAGCUUCGAGUUAUUCGUUGCCUGAAGAGAAAUGAAGAUUAUGACAAGCCAGUGCUUUCUAAGGGCUGGCUUAAAUUUGUUGCUGAUUAUGGACUGAGAGCUGAUGACAUGGUUGUUCUUCAUCGUGAGGAUGACCAUAACCUGGGGUCACAGUUCAGGAUUGAAGCUAAGAGGAGAAUCAAGCUGUUUGGUGAGGAGGAUUGGAGUGAUGUGACAAGAGCUAACUAGCUAUUAUUUGCAUGGAGCGUGGAUGUUCGGCCAUAUCCAGAUAUGCAUAGAAGAAUGGAUUUC